UAACCCUCACAGUACUUUAUUCUGUUCAAAUUUGAUACUUGGUGGUUGUUGCAGAGAACGAGGCAGUGAGUUUUUCCCAAGAGAGAGAAACACAUCUCUCUCUCUCUCUAUUGCUUUGCUUGUCGUAUUGUCUUGUUCCUCGUCUCAUUUAAAGGCAUUAAAUACUUAAAGGCGUUGCCUUUCUUUCUAGUUGGUGACAUAUUUACAGGGACCUUGUUUUCUUGUUCUUAAAUUUUCAAGGGUGUGGUUGUGGCAUCACAAGAGCGAAACAGAACAUCACGUUCACCCAUUCUGCUGUCUCUCCCUUUCUCCUUUGUUGUUCUCAAGUUGAGAAGCUUACGAGAGUUUGUUAUUGUUUCUAUUUUCACAAAGGGUUUCACAAGAGAAUUUUGCUUCUUCAAUUGUUGAGAAUUUCGGGUCGCUUUUGGAUUGCAGCAUUUUCUUAAUCUGUACUGGAGUACAACGUAGCAUACUUGAGGGGCUGUGUGAGGUGCAAGAUUAACAAUGAGAGACGAGAAUUCCAAGAAAAGCAAGCUCUCAUGGUCGAAGAGAAUGGUGAGAAAGUUCUUCAAUAUCAAAAGCAAAGAGGAGGACUCCUGCCAAUCAAAUGGUGGUGCUUAUGGAGGAGGUGACGUACAAUACAGAAGCAGGAAAAGCUUCUCCGACAGAGAGCCUUGCACAAUCAAAAAGAGCAAAACAGAGAAGAUUGGCAGGAACACGGAGCAGGUCAGGCGAGGCAGAGUUAGUCUUGACCAUCCUCGAAUUGUCGAUGUCCAUAACUACAGCGUUUUUGUUGCUACGUGGAAUGUGGCUGGAAGAUCUCCACCGAGAAAUUUGAGUAUAGAUGAUUUGCUUCAUGCCUCACCACCUGCAGAUAUUUAUGUUCUUGGAUUUCAAGAGGUAGUUCCCUUGAAUGUUGGUAACAUCUUAGGCGCUGAAGACAACGGCCCUGCCAAAAAAUGGCUUGCUCUCAUUGGAAGAACCUUAAACAAUCUUCCUGGUUCUAGUGGAGGUGGUGGGUAUUAUACACCGUCUCCACUGCCUCAGCCAGUGGUAGAAUUAAAUGUAGAUUUUGAGGGAUCGGCUAGGCAGAAGAAUUCCUCACUCUUCCAUCGUAGAUCGUUCCAGACAACUUCUAGCAGCUGGGGAAUUGACAAUGAUCCUUCAACUACGCAGCCUCGACUAGAUCGAAGAUUCAGUGUUUGUGAUCGUGUAAUGUUUGGUCAGAGGAAAAGUGACUUCGAUCCCAGCUUCAGAUGGGGUUAUAGGCCCAGUGACUAUUCCAGAGCAAGUGACUACUCCAGACCCAGUGACUACUCAAGAUGGAGUUCAUCUGAUGAUGACAAUGCCCUUGGAGAUUCGCCAAACACAGUCUUAUUUUCACCAUUGUCUCAUGGUGGGCCUGCCUCUACCGAAGAUGGAUAUGGCAUGCCAAGGCGUUCCAGGUACUGCCUUGUUGCAAGUAAGCAAAUGGUAGGAAUAUUUCUUACCAUAUGGGUGAGGAGUGAAUUGAAGGAUCAUGUUCGAAACAUGAAAGUGUCAUGUGUUGGCAGAGGAUUGAUGGGUUAUCUUGGAAACAAGGGAUCCAUCUCAAUUAGCAUGUCUCUACAUGAAACAAGCUUUUGCUUCAUUUGUAGCCACUUAACCUCAGGACAGAAAGAGGGUGAUGAACUGAGAAGAAAUUCUGAUGUGAUAGAGAUUCUUAAGAAGACAAGGUUUCCUCGUGUUCAUGGUCCUGAAAAUGAGAAGUCUCCGGAGACAAUCCUCGAGCAUGAUCGAAUUAUAUGGCUUGGAGACUUGAAUUAUCGAAUUGUCCUCUCCUACCGUUCUGCUAAGGCUCUUGUUGAGAUGCAAAACUGGAGAGCACUAUUGGAGAACGACCAGUUGAGAAUAGAACAAAAGAGAGGUCGUGCAUUUGUCGGAUGGAAUGAAGGAAAGAUUUAUUUUCCUCCAACUUACAAGUAUUCAACAAAUUCAGAUAGAUAUGCAGGAGAUGACAUGCAUCCAAAGGAGAAAAGGCGAACACCUGCUUGGUGUGAUCGGAUACUGUGGUAUGGAGAAGGUCUCCAUCAAUUAUCCUAUGUCCGUGGAGAAUCAAGGUUUUCAGAUCACAAGCCAGUUUAUGGCAUAUUUUCGGCUGAGGUUGAGGCAAAUCAUGGAAGGUUGAAGAAAAGUGUGAGCUGUUGUUCCAGGAACCGAAUCGAGGUGGAAGAACUCUUGCCAUAUUCCACUGGAUAUACCGAACUUAGUUUUUUCUGAUAUAUGGGAUUUCAGGACUUGGUCAACAAGCCGGAGUCACCUCACUUUGAAGAAUGUUAUUUAUGGAGAUUGAUAGAAACAACCCAUUUCCCACAUACCGAAAAAGUCAUGCCUUGCCUAACCCAUGAUCAGUACAAGUUACUCAUCAUCAUCAUCAUCUCGUUAGCAUCUCACGCCAGCUUAAAUACUGUGCAACUGUGCAUUAUCUGAUAGCCAAUUAACAAACACACAACUUUACAUGUCUCAAAACCCUCUGUGUUCAUUGGCACUCUUGCACAAUCAUUGGGAGGCGGAAAGAGACCAUUUUUUUAUUUAGUUAAUGAUUCUUUAGUUGUUUUUUGAGAAUGUUCAUGAUGGCUGAAUGAAGUUGAAAAGUUCGUCAACAUAAUCAUUAGGCUACUAACUUUUUUGUCCCGAGUGCAGAAAAAACAUGAAUUUUGAUUGAUGUAUACUAUAUAUUGAUUGCUACAGUGAUGAAAAAGAAAAUGUAAUUACAGAGAUAAAGGAAAUUUGUAGCUAAUUAUAGAUUUA